CAAUUUUCACUUUAGGAAGUAAGAGAGGUCAGGUUGAACUGGUGCGAGGAAGCAUGACAAGUGGGCUGGUUGGGUCCAGGGGAUCGGAACUGGGUCGAGUCAAGUCAUUCCUAUCUAGACCGGAUUGGAUUGGGCCGCUUCGGUCUACUUUUUCCAUGGAUCCGACUCACUUUUCCUCAAAUGGAUCGCCCUUCAUAAAGGGUGAAAACCUUAAGCCAUUUGUGCCGCUCGGAAUGGGAGGCAAACCUCCCUUUUCACAUGUGUUCACUGGCUGUUUCAGCCGGUCUUCUGAGGAUGUCUGAAACCCUAAACCAUUCGCCUCGCUCGGGAGGGGAAGCCGGCCUCUCUCCUCACACGUAUCUGCCGACGGCUUCAACCAUUCUUCUAAGGGCGCCCCCUGAAGCUGCUCCAUGAUGGUGUUCAAUUGUUGGCGAAAUUCCUUCUUCAUUUCGUACACCUCUUCCAUGAAGGAGGUUGUGACUUUGGCAAAGGAAUCGGCCAGUUCCUGCUUUAAUACCAAAUUUUUAAAUACCUUUGCCAUGAUACUGACCUGUAAAUGAAGAAGAAGAAGAAAAGGGAGAAAAGGGAGAUUCGACAAAGAAGAAGACUAAAA